rnacentral:rRNA from 1 species
GACGAACGCUGGCGGCGUGCUUAACACAUGCAAGUCGAACGGAAAGGCCCUGCUUGUGUGGGGUGCUCGAGUGGCGAACGGGUGAGUAACACGUGAGUAACCUGCCCUUGACUUUGGGAUAACUUCAGGAAACUGGGGCUAAUACCGGAUAGGAGCUCCUGCUGCAUGGGGGGGGUUGGAAAGUUUCGGCGGUUGGGGAUGGACUCGCGGCUUAUCAGCUUGUUGGUGGGGUAGUGGCUUACCAAGGCUUUGACGGGUAGCCGGCCUGAGAGGGUGACCGGCCACAUUGGGACUGAGAUACGGCCCAGACUCCUACGGGAGGCAGCAGUGGGGAAUAUUGCACAAUGGGCGGAAGCCUGAUGCAGCAACGCCGCGUGCGGGAUGACGGCCUUCGGGUUGUAAACCGCUUUCGCCUGUGACGAAGCGUGAGUGACGGUAAUGGGUAAAGAAGCACCGGCUAACUACGUG